CCCAGAUUAGGUAGUAACAACCAUUUGAGUCUGGGAUUUCUGAAUGGGGAAACCCACGUGCAUAAGCACGUAUCCUUACCUGAAUACAUAGGGUAAGGAGGCGAACCGGGGGAACUGAAACAUCUAAGUACCCCGAGGAAAAGAAAUCAACCGAGAUUCCGAAAGUAGCGGCGAGCGAAAUUGGACUAGCCCUUAAGCUUUACACGCGUUAGACGAACGGUCUGGAAAGUCCGACGAUACAGGGUGAUAGUCCCGUAGUUGACGACGUGUGUUCAGUGAAAUCGAGUAGGGCGGGACACGUGAUAUCCUGUCUGAAUAUGGGGGGACCAUCCUCCAAGGCUAAAUACUACUGACUGACCGAUAGUGAACCAGUACCGUGAGGGAAAGGCGAAAAGAACCCCUGUGAGGGGAGUGAAAUAGAACCUGAAACCGUGUACGUACAAGCAGUAGGAGCAGGCUUUGUCCUGUGACUGCGUACCUUUUGUAUAAUGGGUCAGCGACUUAUAUUCAGUGGCAAGGUUAACCAUCUAGGGGAGCCGUAGGGAAACCGAGUCUUAACUGGGCGUUCAGUCUCUGGAUAUAGACCCGAAACCAGGUGAUCUAGCCAUGGGCAGGUUGAAGGUUGAGUAACAUCAACUGGAGGACCGAACCGACUAAUGUUGAAAAAUUAGCGGAUGACUUGUGGCUAGGGGUGAAAGGCCAAUCAAACCUGGAGAUAGCUGGUUCUCCCCGAAAGCUAUUUAGGUAGCGCCUCGGACGAAUACUACUGGGGGUAGAGCACUGUUAAGGCUAGGGGGUCAUCCCGACUUACCAACCCUUUGCAAACUCCGAAUACCAGUAAGUACUAUCCGGGAGACACACGGCGGGUGCUAACGUCCGUCGUGGAGAGGGAAACAACCCAGACCGCCAGCUAAGGUCCCAAAUUACUACUAAGUGGGAAACGAUGUGGGAAGGCUCAGACAGCCAGGAUGUUGGCUUAGAAGCAGCCAUCAUUUAAAGAAAGCGUAAUAGCUCACUGGUCG
rnacentral:rRNA from 1 species